rnacentral:rRNA from 1 species
GGACGGGUGAGUAAUGCUUGGGAAUCUACCUAGUAGUGGGGGAUAACGUGUGGAAACGACUGCUAAUACCGCAUACGCCCUACGGGGGAAAGGAGGGGACCUUCGGGCCUUCCGCGAUUGGAUGAACCUAGGUGGGAUUAGCUAGUUGGUGAGGUAAUGGCUCACCAAGGCGACGAUCCCUAGCUGUUCUGAGAGGAUGAUCAGCCACACUGGGACUGAGACACGGCCCAGACUCC